CUCUGCCCUGACAUGAAAAGAAGAUGCUGCUUCUUGCAGGCUUUAGCCUUUUGUUUCUCUACAAGGGCAUGCUGUGUAACCAAGUGACCCAGAGUUCUCGGGAACUGGCAGUGGCCAGUGGCAGUGGAGUGGUCCUGCCCUGCACUUACAGCACUAGUUACUCAAAUCCGGGUUUAUACUGGUACCGAGAAAAGCCAGAUGGAACUUUUCAGUUUAUUCUUUACAGGGAUAACAGUCGAUCCCUUAAUGCAGAGUUUACUAAAGGUCGAUUUUCUGUGAAGCGCAAUCAGAACCAGAAAACCUUCCACCUGGUGAUCAACCCCGUGAGGAUGGAAGACAGUGCCCUCUACUUCUGUGCCCUGAGCACGGUGAUGCAGGUGCCCGGGAAGCCUGCACAGAAACCCACAGGCACAGCUCAAUGGAGCUACCCUCAGGGCAGGCCAAGUAUUGGAUCUGGAAUCCUUCUCCUAGUUUCUAUGCUCCGGCUUGGCCUUUAGAGUGCCUGAAAGUGUUUGCUAAUUAAUAACAGUGCAGAUCACAUCGAGGGAGCACCCUGGUUUCCGGUAGAGCAAAGCAUCUUAUACCUCAGCAGACCCUCGACAUCUGAGUGGCUCAUAGUGGGUUAGGGGAGC